rnacentral:rRNA from 1 species
AGGGUUUGAUUAUGGCUCAGGACGAACGUUGGCGGUGUGUCUAAGGCAUGCAAGUCGAACGAGAUCGCUUCCUUCGGGAAGCAUAUAUCUAGUGGCAGACGGCUGAGUAACGCGUAAGUAACUUACCCUAGAGUGGGGAAUAACACAGAGAAAUCUGUGCUAAUACCGCAUACGAUUUAUUGAUUAUUUCUAUAAAUGAAAGAUUUAUCGCUCUUGGAUGGGCUUGCGUCCUAUCAGGUAGUUGGGGGGGUAAUGGCCCACCAAGCCUAAGACGGGUAGCUGGUGUGAGAGCACGACCAGCCAGAGGGGGACUGAGACACGGCCCCCACUCCUACGGGAGGCAGCAGCUAAGAAUAUUGCACAAUGGACGAAAGUCUGAUGCAGCGACACCGCGUGAGGGAUGAAGGUUUUAGGAUCGUAAACCUCUUUUAUUAGGGAAUAGUAAGGAAGGUACCUAAUGAAUAAGGUACGGCUAACUACGUGCCAGCC